UACCGGCGGCUCGAGUGGUGGCCACUUUUAUUGGGCUUAAAGCGUUCGUAGCUGGGUUGUUAAGUCUCUUGGGAAAUCUGGCAGCUUAACUGUCAGGCGUCUAAGAGAUACUGGCAAUCUAGGAACCGGGAGAGGUGAGGGGUACUUCGGGGGUAGGAGUGAAAUCCUGUAAUCCUCGAGGGACCACCUGUGGCGAAGGCGCCUCACCAGAACGGCUUCGACAGUGAGGGACGAAAGCUGGGGGAGCAAACCGG
rnacentral:rRNA from 1 species